rnacentral:lncRNA from 1 species
CCUGAGCCCUGAGUCUUCAUUUAUUUUGGAGAAACAAGGACAGGAGGGACUGGUGAGCCUUUGCCCCAGCUGGGCCCCGGCCAGUGACUCAGGCAACACCAGCAUUAGCAGCAGGGACUUGUUCCCGUCUGUGUGCCCUUCCCAGUCAAGCUAAGACAAGAUUUUCUCCCUGUUCCUCCUCCCCCACCACCCCCCAAACUCCCUCGUCGCCACACCCGAUGACAGACAGACAGAAGCAACAAGGUGCUCUUUGUAAGUGCAAGAGGGUGCCUACCUGCUGGCCUUCUGAUCACUGCUUGCUGCUCCCAGUUGGACAUCAAUGGACUGGCUCUUGGAACAAUCCAGAAGGAAUAAAAGGACUCAAAAAUAGCCAGUGGGGAUGGAGAAGUCCAACCCUAGCCAACUACCCCUGAGUAAGAGUUAAAAAAAAAUAAUAAAGUAACUGUUUAAGUGGACA